GCACUAUUUUUUAUUUAAUAGACAACCUAUCCCCUACAAAGUGUGUUGGUCAAAAUUUGUGCACUUUAUUGGCAAUAGGUCAUUUCAAACGCAUCCUAUUAUGAGGGGGCCAAUUACGUGUAUUUUUGGUUCACACUCAAGUCAUCUUUCAUCUUUGGCCGUUUCAAUGCCUCUCUGCAAUCUUGCUAGUCCCAACUUCCCAUCUUAGAUGGAGAGAGCCUUACCCUACAUGGUAGCAUUAGCUUUAGGUAUUGUGGAUGAGACUGACUAAAAAAGGGCUUGAAUGGCAGCUGCUCUGCUGUGUUCACCCCAGAGAGCAAGGGAGAGAGAGAGACGUGGACUCACUGCAGCCAUCCCACACUGCAGAGCACGAUGCCCAUCAAUCACCCUACUGUCCCACACAGCCUCCCAUUGUUGGGGUUCCUGAGAAUCAAGAAACACGUUGGCAACCUCUGUUUGUUUUUUGUUCUCAGAAGGGCCCUGCAAUAACCAUCCCUUUGUCCGAGUCGUAUUGAUGGAAUCUGGAGAAUAAGCAGAUUUGCAACGGAUAUUAAUGUGCCAGAACAAUAAGUGAUCAGCGGUGCAACACAGGUCAAACAACAAGCGUGGCUUUUAUGUUGCCAGGAUACUGUGUGCUUGGGGGUUAUUCACUCACAGGAGGAAAUGAUCAUAUCUACACUGGGCCUGUCUGUAGUCACCCAGGUCCAGGCGCCGCCCUUGACAGAUGGACGGACAGACAAUCACUCUUGAAGACCAGAGAACCCUCACAACGACUGAAGGAACAAGAGUUCACAGGAAAAGAACAUCAAAUGCACAUGCAAGCAAAGCAUCGACUCGCCCUCUGUCUCUUUCUCAGAAGUUCCCCUGAGAGCAUGGACAAUGCCCUUCACUCAACAGUCAUAAAAGCCUUAUGAGCGUCAGUGGAGCUGUGGUCGUUCUGCGUGACUGGAGGAACGAGAGAGAAUGAAAAGACCAGGAGAUGAGACGCGAGUCAAAAACCACAGUGAGAGUGGCCUGAUUAAGGACUGACCCCAGUUCAUCUCCAGGACGUCCGUACUCUAGAACCUCUACACACACACACAUACUCUACAUGCACUCCUUCCUGUUUCACGCUGCCAAAUACUGAAGGACUUACUCAUAGCAUUGUGGUUAACCAAGGCUGAGUUCGUCGUUGCUUUGUUAAGGGUCUUUGAGGAGACUCGAUAGGGGAUUUGUUUAUUUCUAUCAAAAGCAUUUGGAAGUUGGAAGGACAUUGACUAAAGACAGUAAAUUAAACAAAAAAUAAUUAAAUCAUUUUAGAAAGCAGAGAUCUUCAGUGUUGUUUUUGUCUAUCCAUCCAUCCAUCCAUCCUCUGUGAAAAAAGAGAAAAAUGAGGCUUCGGCACAUUUCCAGUGAGUUUAUUUCAGUAGAAGUGGUUUUUAAAACACUUCACACUGUACCUCAAACAUCUCAUUUCCUUGAGACCCCCAUAAGCAAGCAAGAUCAACAUAUUCAAAUAUGGCGGUGUCCAAUAUCAUUAUAUUCUGUGCAAAAACAUUUUUAAGCAUACUAUUUUACAGAAGAAAAAAUUAAAAAUCUACAUUUUGGAAGGGUUGGGGGUUGAAACGGUCACACAAUCAAGAUGUAUAUUUUGUACAAUUGUCAAAACUUGGGACUACAUGAGAUAAAAUCCAUCAGGUGGCUGUAGAUAUGUGCCUUGUUUAAAACAGCCAAAGCAGGCAGGAGUAGUGACCUGUAUAGAACAACAACAAACAACUUCUACUGCUCUCUCUUCAGUACAGAUCAUUCUCUUUAGCAAUUGUGUAAGGGUACUGAGUGUGUGUGUGUGUGUGUGCACUCGUGUCGUCAUAAAUACAGUACAUACAUACAUACAAACUCAAUGUGUUCUAAUAAGGCAUAUGUGGCAUAUCAAAGUCCACAGAAAAUAAACAGUCCCAUCAGUAACUUGACAGCACUAUUUAAGGCCUGGAAAACAGAAAAGGGGGAGAUAAAAUCACAAGUACCUUAAGGAAAGAAUGUCAAAACAAUGUAUUGAAAGCAGCCCUGCAGUGGCCGGGGGCCGGAGAGUGCGAUGGGGGAGGGGGGGGCUGCUGUGACGUCACCCCCACAGUGGGAUGGGGACGUGGUCCUGGAGUCUGGGGGUGCGAUGCCUGCCCUGAACCAGUCUACAGUCAGACACUAUCAAAACUCAUUAUCAGGUCUCUCUUCCAAGAGUAUAGGGGUGAACCCUUCAAAGUAGAGUUCUUGGCUAUACAAAGUGAGAGGACUGCGAGUGUAUCCAUUUCACAUGAGAGGUGGGAGGGAGAGGGGGGGGGGGGAGGACCACAUUGCCUCGUAGCCAUAAAAUCACAGAUAUAAAAUACAUUCAUGAACAAAACCCCAAAACAGGUCAAUGAAUAAAAGCAUACCUCACAUCAAUUGAAAUGGCUCUUUAGCAUAGAGGAAAAAACACGUUUCAGUUCAUGACUACACAAUAGGUUGAGAUGGGGAAGAGUAAAAACAAAAACAUUUCUUGGCGCAUCAAACUGACAUGAAGCGUUUUGCUAAACAGGGAAAGAGAGCCGGACACACAGUCCACUUCACUGUGACCUAAACAUCAUAUUGUUAUCCCAGCAAGCAAAAGUGGUUUCAAUGACAUCGUUAUGAUGUCUACUAUUAAAUUAUGAUCAGGUUGUAGAUUAGACGUGUCCUUUUUUUUAAAACAAAAAAAACAAACAGCAACCACAAAAUGCAAUAAUCUGGUUAUCUGACCAGAUGACAACCAAAAUAUGACGUCUUGCGCUCGUCAUGAAAAAUAUAUCUUGCUGUAACAGAGACCAGUUCCUUGUCAUCUGGUUUUAUAUUUUCAACCAGAAAACCAGCUUACAACAACAUUACGUCAUGCUCCAAAUGCUGUCUCUAGGGUUACGAUAGUACCUCAGUAAGGGUUCUGGCGAAAGACUCAGAUGAUGGUACCACGCCAGUGUCAGACCAGACAAAGACCCAGUUCCCUGAGAACAUCAGAGACAAAGGUUCCAAACACUACAAACUAACGGCAGCAGAUUGGGCGUAAUAAUAUUUGAAUAACAAGAAUAUUUACAUCGUGGUGGUCCUGAAAAAACCCCAACUAAAAUCAAACUGUUUUCCUAUUGAUGCAGCAUUGGGGGUAGAGAAACACAACAGAAUGAUCGAGCUGACUUUUUGGAGUUAAUAAAUGUGAACAACUCCUCUUGUGUUAUUGUUACUGCUGAGUAGACUACAGCAACUCCUGUGCUGGUGGUAGGAGGUACAUGGAUCUAUAUGACACUGCCUGGUGCCAUCGAUUUCAUCUAAUCGCUACUCAUUGGUUGGUUACGCGGACGCCGAAAUGCUGUGUUCAGGGCAACGGACAGUUUCAAAUCAAAUAUCAACAACAGAUUAAAGUGAUCUCAUUCGAACAGACAGCAACAUAUUCAGAUCGAUUUCAGUAUGGACACUAAACAACAUACCAUGGGCAAAUAGUAUACUCUUUAAAGUGACAUAAAUCCUGAAUAAAUACCAUAAAGACUGUUAAUUUAUGCUGUGUCAAGAGCUUGUUUUCCUCACUCCCUUCAAGAAGCUUUUAUUGGUAACUUUUGAACAAUAUUUUUUUUACAUACAGUAUAUUGAUUAUAUUUUCUUUCCUUAGGUGUGUUUUUUUCUGCAUUGGAUAUUCCAGUUGCUAGGUACUUAUUUUGGCUUCAAGCAACAAACUGCUCUUUAUGGAGUUAGUUUGUAGUUGGGUCUAUUCUCCCAGAGCGACUAACACACGACUCGACUCGCCUGACAGACUCCUAAUCCUUCACAGUUAGCAUCAGUUCCCGACCAAUAGUCCUUUGACCGAUAUAUAUAUAUUAUGUAUAAAAAAAUAAGUUAUUGCGCAUCCCAAAAAAGUGCAUCGUUUUUUUCUUUUAAAAAAUAUCUCUCGUUGCGUUUCACUUUUUCUUCCUUUGAUCCGGAAUCGUAUUAAGACUGUUUUCUCGGAGGGUGUUGGUUGACGAAAGUGUUGGCGCACCUUCUUUCUUGACCUCUGACCUUUUGUCGUACCACGUGGGCACGGGCGCGUAGGUGACGGGUUGGGACAGGCAGGGCAGAGUGUAUAGUAGAGGGAUAGAG
rnacentral:lncRNA from 1 species